UACGUAGGGGGCAAGCGUUGUCCGGAAUUAUUGGGCGUAAAGAGCGUGUAGGCGGUCCGGUAAGUCGGCCGUAAAAGUCCAGGGCUCAACCCUGGAAAGCCGACCGAUACUGCCGGACUAGAGUUCGGAAGAGGUGAGUGGAACUCCGAGUGUAGAGGUGAAAUUCGUAGAUAUUCGGAAGAACACCAGUGGCGAAGGCGGCUCACUGGUCCGGUACUGACGCUGAGGUGCGAAAGCGUGGGGAGCAAACAGG
rnacentral:rRNA from 1 species